rnacentral:lncRNA from 1 species
GAACACCAUUGCGGACACCCUUAUCCUCCAUAAUCACUACCACACUCACACCCAAGCAGUAGCAUGAGCGUAGCCAGCCGGGGCACCAAGCAGUAGUAGCCGACAACAACGCGACCCACAUUGCUCACAUACACCAAGCAACCCACAUUGCAGAUGGCCUAGCAGCCCACACCACCCAAUCCUCGAGCAAAGUCCAUCUCUACCACCUCCUUUCACACCGAACUAUACAUCUGCUAAUUGUAGACCACCUCUACGGUUUGAGGAUGGCUAGUAGGAGCAAUAUUGAAAUCUAGAACAAAUUACAAUUUAACACCAAUGACAUAUGAAAAUUUUGUAUUUAGGUGGCAGAUAAGGGAUUUAGCUUUCUUAUGUCAAGGGCAUGUAAGAUUUUUUUUUCUAAUUUUUGUAUGGAUAUUGCAUUAUAAAAUGAGUACAGAGAAAGAUCAAGCAAGGAAUAAAAUAAUUUAAUUUUGAUUAGUUGUAGAUACUAACUAAACUUAUCGACAAACUUUUAUUAGUAUAUAUAUGUCUCACGAAUUGAUGGAUGCUAGUUAUGAUGACAACUGCACUGUUUACCAUGAAAACUAUACCCCCCUCUUCAGUGAGGUUUUAUAGAUGAGUACACGGUACCUAAACCCUCUCAUAACCACAUGUCAUACACAAAAAGCUAGCUAAGAAGGCGUAGCAUCUAACACACGUACUGGCACACACGCAUCAGCCCGAUCGACGACGCAUAUGAUUCAUUUCCCCCCGGAUCAUGGCAGUACUCUAAAUUCCCGCAUGACGUUGAUGCCUGAAGCAGCUUGAACCCCGUCACGCCCGUCGUCCAAGAUGCAUACUCUACAUGCA